GGAUUAGAUACCCUGGUAGUCCACGCAGUAAACGAUGAUCACUAGAUAUUUGCGACAUACUGUAAGUGUCUUAGCGAAAGCGAUAAGUGAUCCACCUGGGGAGUACGGUCGCAAGAUUGAAACUCAAAGGAAUUGACGGGGGCCCGCACAAGCGGUGGAGCAUGUGGUUUAAUUCGAUGAUACGCGAGGAACCUUACCAGGGCUUAAAUGUAGAUUGACAGUUUGAGAAAUCAGACCUUCUUCGGACAAUUUACAAGGUGCUGCAUGGCUGUCGUCAGCUCGUGCCG
rnacentral:rRNA from 1 species